AAAUAAAUUAAAAAGACGAGAAGACCCUAUAGAGUUUUAUAUUUAAUUUGAUUAAAAUGGUUAUUAAUAAAAAAAAGUUAAGAUUAAAUUAAUUAUUUUAUUGGGGUGAUAGAAAAAUAUGUUUAACUUUUUUUAAUUUAAAAACAUUUAUAAGUGAUUAAAUGAUCCAAUAUUAUUGAUUAUAAGAAAAAAUUACCUUAGGGAUAACAGCGUAAUUUUUUUUUUUAGUUCAAAUAAGAAAAAGAGUUUGCGACCUCGAUGUUGGAUUAAGAUAAAAUUUAAAUGCAGAAG
rnacentral:rRNA from 1 species